GGGCGGAAGAAGGCAGCAAUGUCAAUACCGUUGCUGAUUGACGGUACCCGUAGAAGAAGCACCGGCUAACUCCGUGCCAGCAGCCGCGGUAAUACGGAGGGUGCGAGCGUUAAUCGGAAUUACUGGGCGUAAAGCGUAUGAAGGCGGUUUGUUAAGUCAGAUGUGAAAUCCCCGGGCUUAACCUGGGAACUGCAUUUGAAACUGUCAAACUAGAGUUUCGUAGAGGGGGGUAGAAUUUCAGGUGUAGCGGUGAAAUGCGUAGAGAUCUGGAGGAAUACCGAUGGCGAAGGCGGCCCCCUGGACGAAGACUGACGCUCAGGUACGAAAGCAUGGGGAGCAAACAGGAUUAGAUACCCUGGUAGUCCAUGCUGUAAACGAUGUCGAUUUGAAGGUUGUGGCCUUGAGCCGUGGCUUUCGAAGCUAACGCGUUAAAUCGACCGCCUGGGGAAUACGGCCGCAAGGUUAAAACUCAAAUGAAUUGACGGGGGCCCGCACAAGCGGUGGAGCAUGUGGUUUAAUUCGAUGCAACGCGAAAAACCUUACCUACUCUUGACAUCCAGAGAACGAGGUAGAGAUUCCUUGGUGCCUUAGGGAGCUCUGAGACAGGUGCUGCAUGGCUGUCGUCAGCUCGUGUUGUGAAAUGUUGGGUUAAGUCCCGCAACGAGCGCAACCCUUGUCCUUUGUUGCCAUCGAUACGGUCGGGAACUCAAA
rnacentral:rRNA from 1 species